rnacentral:rRNA from 1 species
UACGUAGGGUGCAAGCGUUGUCCGGAAUUAUUGGGCGUAAAGAGCUCGUAGGCGGUCUGUCGCGUCGGCUGUGAAAACCCGGAGCUCAACUCCGGGCCUGCAGUCGAUACGGGCAAACUGGAGUGUUGCAGGGGAGACUGGAAUUCCUGGUGUAGCGGUGAAAUGCGCAGAUAUCGGGAGGAACACCGGUGGCGAAGGCGGGUCUCUGGGCAACAACUGACGCUGAGGAGCGAAAGCGUGGGGAGCGAACAGG